UGGCACCAGGUGCUAUGGAUAUACUAUGGAAGGAGGGUGCUCACCAGUGUUCUGGUGGCAGAGGUGAUGGGGAGGCCUGUGUCUUCCUGGGCUUUGCUGCUCAGAAUGAGCCCUCAGCUUUGCAGUCUGAGGCCUCUUUUGUGGCCAAGGAGUCAUGUGGUGGUGGUAGGGGGAGCAGAACAAAGGGAUUCAUCCAGGGCAUCCCUGCCCCAUAUAGGAUCUCACCAGGUGGCCGAUGGAAGGGCCUAGGAGGGGCUGGCCAAGGGCUGCUCCACCCAGCCCCAGGGAAGCUGCAGCUUUUGGAGACAGCCUGCCACAACCUGUGUCCCCCUAUCCAGGCCUGGGGCUGCCUCCCUGCCUCCUACCUGCUGCCUAGGUAUCAGUUGCUAUCUCAGGCUAGGACUGCGGAACGUGGGUGUGAUCAGACUAGACUCUGAAAAGACUAGCUGCCUAUGUCUGUUUAACAAGGAUUCCCAGAGGGCUUCCUCAGAGCCAACCACUGGGCUCACAGAGAGGUCCCUACCAAGAUGUAGAUCAGCCCCCAGCGAGGGGGGCGGGCCUUCUUGUUGGAGCCUGCAUCUCGAGAGCACAUCCACUCAUCCACUGCUAGCCUGGUGCUUGGCAUUGUCAUCUUCCCACGGUUCCCUCUUAGAGGGCUGUGUACCCCGAGUCCAGGGAGCCCCUUGCUGCCCCAGGCACUGGCCAGGCUGUUCUUGACCAGAUUCUUUGGGCAGGUGAGGCCAAGGAGGCACAAUGGCAGCUGGCCUUAAAGGAAGAGUCAGCUGCACAGGCAGGACCAGGGCUGCAGAGGGAGGGAAGGCCCUGGGUCUGGGUGAGGAGCUUGAGCAAAGGCCCAGGGUCAGGUCUCCUGUUUGGCCUCAUUAACCUCCCUUCUAAUAUUCAAGGCAAGUGUUUUAAGACUCUACACCUGGUGGGCCUUUGACAAAUAUUUGUUAAAUGAAUGAAACGAUGAGUGGGUGGGCAGUGGGUAGAUGGCAGCCCAGUCCCUAGCACUCCUGGCAGGGAUCCCUGGGCCAUCUCAUGGUUGUCAUGUUGUCCACCCUCCAGCAGGGCCCUGACACUUAGUGACAGGGGGUGGUUUCUCAGCUGAAACAGGGAGUCAGAUCAGGAGUAGAGACACAGCUCCUGUGCACUGGGCACUCACCCCCGUGUUCUCCAUGAGACCCAAAGGGAGAUAAGAGGAACUUCCAAGUUGGAAUGGUUUGUCUGCUCCCACCUAGUGGGAAUUUGAUGGGCCAGAUGGGGUUGGCGACAGGGAUAUGAUUCCUAACGUCUAUUUUUCCAGACUUCUUGGUGGAGGUGCAGGAUUAAGUGAGGAGUGCCAGGAAUGGGAAAGUGAACUCCCACUCAGCAGAGACCCUUAACCCUUGACCCCAGGUAGCCCUUGGCCAUGAUACACACACACACAAAAUACAAGAUACAGUGAAAAGUCUCCAUCCAGGUCCCAGUUACGUAUGAACCUCCUGGAAGUAUUUAUGCAUAUUUAAGCAGUUCAGUGUGCUUUAUUCUUCCUCGUUUCUUACAUGCAUGGUAACAGAUUCCACACUGUUCUAAUCUCACCCUUAAAUUCAGUUCCGGAGAGCUUUCUAUGAUCAGUGCCUUCCCCUUUGUUGUUUUAUAGCUAGUGGUAUUCCACUGUAUGGGUUUCUGAUAACUAACAUUAAUUAACUGUCAUUAAAUCCCUAUUGAUGGAAA